UGUGAGAGUGAUGAGUUGCACACUAGUGGAGCCAUAGUAUCCAGGUGAUACAGGCACCACUCAGUACCACCCUGGUGACAAAAUCAAGUGCACAGGGGCCAUCUGACUCACA